AUCUUGGCCCAUGCGGCCGCACCCGCUUCCUGAAAGUGUGGUCUUAGAGACCCUUAUUCAAGCUUUCUGGAAGUCAGUCUUCUCCUGGUUGUCUUCAGAACAAGAUGUAGAACUCUCAGCUCCUCCUACACCUUGCCUGCCUGGAUGCUACCUCGUUGAUGGUAAUGGACUGAACCUCUGAACCUGGUAUUUUCCUUAGUGAUUGAUGUAGGAGGACCCAGCCAAUGACAUGUUUACCGUGACUGCAUAUUAUCCUGCAAACUAUAUAUGACUGCACCUUCCUCUUCCAUUUCUCUGGCUCCCUGUUAGGAGCCACAACUUCCAUAUUGUGAAUCCUGCUACAGCAAACGCUGAUGGGCUGGCAUCGUUGUGGUACAUUGGCACAGAGUCUUUCAGAACACUGUUUUCUGGAAGAUCUACCUUCCUCCCCACAUCCUCCUCCACCCAUCCCUUUUGGGCCUCCACCCCUGAACACCAGAGGAGACGGCUCCUUUCAAAGUUUGUAAUCAGGUGUGCAAAGCCCGCUGGAGACAAGACAGGAUGAACCGCAAAGAGGCUAAGUUAGGAGGGUGGGGCAGGAAGUCGACCUGGCAGAGCCCUGGAGUUCAUCCACAAGCCAGGCCUCAGGUGCCAAAGGAUUAGGGUGCCUUGUGGACCUGGGGAAGGAUUGAGCUCCCAGCCACUGGAUGUGGUACGUUCAGGGACAGGAAGGAGAGAGGGAGAUGAGUGACCAUAACCACACCAUAACCUAGCGUGGCCGGGGUAUUUUAAAUUCUUCAACAAAGUAUGGUCCAAGCAGCCUGGUUUUCCUGCUGUGAGGUCAGCUUAGUCAGCAAAGUGCUUCCAGUCGGGCGUGGACACACAUUUGGAUCCCCAGCUCCCAAAUAAAAACCUAUGUCAUC